rnacentral:rRNA from 1 species
GACGUAGGGCGCGAGCGUUGUCCGGGUUUAUUGGGCGUAAAGAGCUCGUAGGCGGCUUGUCGCGUCGACUGUGAAAACCCGUGGCUCAACCAUGUGGUCUGCAGUCGAUACGGGCAGGCUAGAAUUCGGUAGGGGAGACUGGAAUUCCCGGUGUAGCGGUGAAAUGCGCAGAUAUCGGGAGGAACACCGGUGGCGAAGGCGGUUCUCUGGGCCUUACCUGACGCUGAGGAGCGAAAGCGUGGGGAGCGAACAGG